rnacentral:tRNA from 1 species
GGCCCGAUAGCUCAGUUGGUAGAGCAGCGGAUUGAAAAUCCGCGUGUCCCCAGUUCGAUUCUGGGUUGGGCCACCA